rnacentral:rRNA from 1 species
CAUUUAAAGAAAGCGUAAUAGCUCACUGGUCGAGUCGGCCUGCGCGGAAGAUGUAACGGGGCUAAACCAUGCACCGAAGCUGCGGCAGCGACACUGUGUGUUGUUGGGUAGGGGAGCGUUCUGUAAGCCUGUGAAGGUGGCCUGUGAGGGUUGCUGGAGGUAUCAGAAGUGCGAAUGCUGACAUAAGUAACGAUAAAGCGGGUGAAAAGCCCGCUCGCCGGAAGACCAAGGGUUCCUGUCCAACGUUAAUCGGGGCAGGGUGAGUCGACCCCUAAGGCGAGGCCGAAAGGCGUAGUCGAUGGGAAACGGGUUAAUAUUCCCGUACUUGGUGUUACUGCGAAGGGGGGACGGAGAAGGCUAUGUUGGCCGGGCGACGGUUGUCCCGGUUUAAGCGUGUAGGUGUGUGUUCCAGGUAAAUCCGGUUCACUUUAACACUGAGGCGUGACGACGAGGCACUACGGUGCUGAAGCAACAAAUGCCCUGCUUCCAGGAAAAGCCUCUAAGCAUCAGGUAACAUCAAAUCGUACCCCAAACCGACACAGGUGGUCAGGUAGAGAAUACCAAGGCGCUUGAGAGAACUCGGGUGAAGGAACUAGGCAAAAUGGUGCCGUAACUUCGGGAGAAGGCACGCUGACACGUAGGUGAAGUGAUUUACUCAUGGAGCUGAAGUCAGUCGAAGAUACCAGCUGGCUGCAACUGUUUAUUAAAAACACAGCACUGUGCAAACACGAAAGUGGACGUAUACGGUGUGACGCCUGCCCGGUGCCGGAAGGUUAAUUGAUGGGGUCAGCGCAAGCGAAGCUCCUGAUCGAAGCCCCGGUAAACGGCGGCCGUAACUAUAACGGUCCUAAGGUAGCGAAAUUCCUUGUCGGGUAAGUUCCGACCUGCACGAAUGGCGUAAUGAUGGCCAGGCUGUCUCCACCCGAGACUCAGUGAAAUUGAACUCGCUGUGAAGAUGCAGUGUACCCGCGGCAAGACGGAAAGACCCCGUGAACCUUUACUAUAGCUUGACACUGAACAUUGAGCCUUGAUGUGUAGGAUAGGUGGGAGGCUUUGAAGUGUGGACGCCAGUCUGCAUGGAGCCGACCUUGAAAUACCACCCUUUAAUGUUUGAUGUUCUAACGUGGACCCGUUACCCGGGUUGCGGACAGUGUCUGGUGGGUAGUUUGACUGGGGCGGUCUCCUCCUAAAGAGUAACGGAGGAGCACGAAGGUUGGCUAAUCCUGG